rnacentral:lncRNA from 1 species
CAUUUCCAUUCUCAAUUUUAUUUUUUACAGAGUUUGUCUUUAGUGCCAUGUGGACACAGUAGAGUGCCUCCCCGUGCUUCAGGUUUAUGCUCUUAUAAUAUACUAGAUUAUGGAGUGUGUGUCCGAGCGAGAACUUCUCUAGUUCAUUACUUUAGGAAAAUUUAUCAAAAAGUAGUAUUUCAAUAUUCAGCCCCAUUCUACUAUUUAGUCAGCCGUUAGUCGUUACCCUGAUAUACCUUAUCUUUUUCGGGUAAUUAAUACGAAUAGCGUUUGACGUUUUUAGCCGAA